UGCUGAGUGGAAGACUAGUGAUUUUGUUGUGAAGCUGAUCAAAGAACAACAAGUCCCAGUCUACCUCUCAGCAC
rnacentral:miRNA from 1 species